CCAUUAAUAUGCUUGCUUGAUCAGACACUAACUGCAGCUAUUAUUCUCCUCUUCGUAACAACAAAAAUAACCUAAUGAUUUCCUCUUCGACUUCUCCUCUUUCACCCGGUACUGAUGUAGCUUUAAAGCUACCACCAGGAAUCAAAUAGAUCAUGGAACUCAGAAGCAAAUAAUUAGAUUGAACCUAUCUCUACUCCAGAGAGUUGAAACUGAUAUAGUUCCUUUCAUAUUCCAAAGGAAUCGGGAUAGUGUAUCUGAGAAGAGAAUUUUGAUUAUUAUCAUUUUGGAUGUUCUCAAUGUCACUGAGGACGAAGUUCUUCGUCUAAUGCCGCUUUGAUUUACGCAACUACAUACUUGACUCGAUCCAAGAAAAUCCGGAGCCUGAUUCAUUGGAAACAUCACUCUCUGUUACGCUUCCUCUCGAUUCAUAAGCAACGUACAUGCAAAUCAUCGGCAAACCCAUGAUCUAGAGAUUUUGGGAGAGGCUGGUGUUACCUUCUAUGCUCGAUGACUUUGAUAAAAUGAAAAUUCGUUGGCUCAGUUAUUGAUUUUGGUGUAGGAUGCGCUAUCACAGAGAAUUUGAUGGUAACAGGAAUUUGUUGCACGAGAUCACUAGACUUUCACGGUUUCACCUAAGGCAGAGAUAAGCUCUUUAUUAGUUCUCUUGACAAAAGUCUAUGGCGUAAAUCACCAUGGCAUCUCCUUCUGUUAUCUGUGGACCUAAUUAGUUUAAAAUACUUCUGACAAUUAGGAAGAAGUAUACUUGAUAUAGUAAUAUCAAUACAAUAUUUUCUAUGUCUGUGUUUUGUCUAGGAUUAGUCUCUUCAAUUUGUUCAAAGUGCUUCUCUUCAGAUUGAUCAUAUAAUUUAGAAGCUUAAUUAAAUCUAUUAUAUUUCCUCCGUGUUUGAUUAUCUUUUCUCUAGGCACUUCUCUACCCGGAUGUUCUGUCCAACAUUGCUCCAGCAAGUAGUUAUCCUUGUGCCAUAACAACAGUACGAGGUACUAAAGCUGCAACAAGCUCUCAAGCAAGACCACAUGGUACAGCCUUCAUAGCACCGAGGGACAAGCAACCGGGUUGGUCGGUUUCAUUUGACUGAAACUUGCAGCAAUGAACAUGGUUUCCCACACUCAAGUUACCAAAACAAGAAUAAGCUCUCUCUCCAAGUAUACACUGCAG